ACCCAGAAGCAACCAUUUAUCAAUACCACAUUAAUAUUUCAAAUUGUCCUAUUGGUUGGAGCCACAGAGAUUUUUUACACCUCAGAAAAAUGUAUCAUAGUAAUAUCCUAAAUGGGAUAUCCUGAAUGUAAAGUGAGGAAAGAACAACUGUGAAAAAGAAGGUGGGAAAGUAAUACCUGCUCCUUCAAAACAGGCAUUUUAUUUCUGAGAAAGUCUUCACCUACCAUCCAAGAUUUGUGACCUUAGUUUGAAGAGUAGGAUAAAAGGUGAAAAGGCUUAGAAUCAAGACCAAAUAUGAAAUGCACCGGACUUCCCUGGUGGCGCAGUGGUUAAGAAUCCACCUGCCAAUGCAGGGGACACAGGUUCGAGCCCUGGUCGGAGAAGAUCCCACAUGCCGUGAAGCAACUAAGCCCAUGCACCACAACUACUGAGCCACAUGCCACAACUACUGAA